rnacentral:rRNA from 1 species
UGGGGAAUAUUGGACAAUGGGCGCAAGCCUGAUCCAGCCAUGCCGCGUGAGUGAUGAAGGCCUUAGGGUUGUAAAGCUCUUUCGCCGAGGACGAUAAUGACGGUACUCGGAUAAGAAGCCCCGGCUAACUUCGUGCCAGCAGCCGCGGUAAUACGAAGGGGGCUAGCGUUGUUCGGAAUUACUGGGCGUAAAGCGUAUGCAGGCGGAUCAUUAAGUCGGGGGUGAAAUCCCGAGGCUCAACCUCGGAACUGCCUUCGAUACUGAUGAUCUUGAGUCCGGGAGAGGUGAGUGGAACUGCGAGUGUAGAGGUGAAAUUCGUAGAUAUUCGCAAGAACACCAGUGGCGAAGGCGGCUCACUGGCCCGGUACUGACGCUGAGAUACGAAAGCGUGGGGAGCAAACAG